rnacentral:lncRNA from 1 species
UACUAUUUGACUGAAGAAUAAGUCCAAAUUCUGUUCACCUUCAGAAUUAUGCAGUAAGAACCAAAAGGAAUGUUUAGUAAAUUGAAUUCUACAGCGCCUUUCCUUGUUGGUAUUUUAUGCAUGAAAUAAAACCGUUUGUUACCGGGAAGAUUCCUGUUGUUCUCUUUGAGAGGCAGCGGUGGUUUCUGCUUUUGUUUGUUUAGGUUAUUGUUUCUGCUCUUGUGCAGCAUAGUAUCACGUCUUCAAACACCUCCCAAGCAGAAAUCCUUGCAGAAUAUGAUUUUCCCUCUGGCAAUAAAAUGAUACAAAAAUCCAGCCCAGCAUUUAAAUGACUAUUAAGUUACCUCAUUUCUGUGUGUGAUACAACAUAUCUUUUAGGAAAGAGUUGGAAAAAACAAAACUAUUAGCAUUUCUUUCUGGCU